rnacentral:lncRNA from 1 species
UCAGGUAAAGAGGGCACUGACUUUCUUUUGAGAGAGUCUCAAGUAUGAACCUAGAAGGGAAAUCACACAGAAGCGAGGGCAAGGGCAACCAAAAUGGUAACUUGCAUCAGAGGAGAGCUAAGCACAGCAGUGUGCACUACACUCCUGGGCAGAUGCUGUGUCCUCUGGACAAAGGUUGUUCUGCAACUAUCAAUGCUUGUCUCAGAAACUUUCAUUUUCACCAAGGUCUAUGCAGCAAUUCAUGCAGAGUGCCAUGUGCCGUCUAUGCUGGAAAAUGGGUCUGAUGGAAAUAUUUUAAGAAAUCUUGAAAACAUUAGAAGUAUUGCCUUUUGAUUUUGCUUCUUCCCCUGCAGCUCUGAUCCACCAAAGUCAGUCUUUUCCACAUGCUUUAGCUUUAACAGUUCUUUGAAUACAUCAACACCCCACCUCUGCCCACCUCUCCUGCUGCAAGAUACUUUGAGGUGGUAGCACUGUGCCUUGAACCCCUGUUAUAUAACAGGGGCCCCAAGUCUGCCCCAUAUUACUCAUUUUUGCAUACAUCUCAAUUUCCAAAUAGACUGCAAGAUCCUUGAAGGCAGGGAUUUUGCCUCCCACAUCUUCCCGCCUUCCAGCCCUUCCUCCAACAUUCAGCAAACUGUCUUACAACCCACCAUAGGGGGUUAAUGAACACUUAACCAUUGGAUGAGUUUGUCAAAGCUGCUUAUGAUAAUUAUUGACCAGGUGCCAACCCAAAAUAUGUUUCACUGACAAUAGACUCUGAAAGAGAUGUACCCCUUCUUGUUGAAUUUUGGUGACUUUCAUGUUACUAAAUUUUAUUAAAUGACCAGCCCAUUUGAAGGUAGACAGGGAUAUAGAUAUAGACACAGAAAUGGAUAUAGAUAUAAAUGUGUAUAUGUGUGUUCACACACAUAUACAUUCACCAGGCAGGCAGGAGGUGGUGCCGAGGGAAGAACACUGGAACAAAAGUCUAAUGUUCUUAUCAGGACUGCUCCUGCCUCCAUGAGGCCAUCAGCAGGCAUCUCAUACCUUUGUGCUCCAGCUGAAGGAGCUACACCAGAUGGUCUUUAAAGUCCCUUCAACUCCAAAAGCUCUAUCAGCUGUGUUCUCAUUCUUUAUGGAGGGCUGGAAUCCAAGAAGCCACACAGAAGCACUGCUCCCACCCACCCUUGAUUCCUCACUGUGCUCAGUCAACGUGAAUCCCACUCAUGUUAUCUAUCCCACAUGUCCAACCUUGAAGUUGACUUAGGCUCCACCCAGGGAGAGAAAAUAUGCGGAAAGAUUACUUUUUGUUUAAAAGUCCUUCAAUAUUUACUUUUUAACAUAGGUGGAUUUUUACAACUUCUUAGUCAAUCAAGGGGAAAACUGUGAAGGCCAUUUGGCUUUCAAGCAGACCCUACCUCAAAUGCCUCACUACGGGUUGCUUUUCUUCCAUGUACAUUCUGGGCAUUCAACUUGCCUUCCUUUUCAGGGAGAAGAACAUUGAACUCUGAUCCAGCAUUCUUGGUUUCCAGUUUCAGUUCAGUUUCAAACUGUGUGACCUUAGAGGAGAAGGCUGAUCUGCAAAGCUGUUACUGCCUCUGCCCAAAGAGAAUGGUGCACCUGUGGCACUUGCCUCAGAUCGUUUUUAUGAGGACAUAAAUGCAUUUGUCAAAAAAGUACAUUAACUAUAUAAUAUAAGGUGAUGGUUUAUUAACUAAUCAAUAAUAAUACCAUUCACCCGUUUGAAGUUGUUGCUUCUCUCUCAAAGGGAAAAAUAUGGAUUUAUUUACCUUUUUUGUAAUUUGUUUUGCAAAUGUUUUUUAUCCUUC